rnacentral:rRNA from 1 species
GUGGGGAAUAUUGCACAAUGGAGGAAACUCUGAUGCAGCGACGCCGCGUGAACGAUGAAGGCCUUCGGGUCGUAAAGUUCUGUCCUUGGGGACGAUAAUGACGGUACCCAAGGAGGAAGCCCCGGCUAACUACGUGCCAGCAGCCGCGGUAAUACGUAGGGGGCGAGCGUUGUCCGGAAUUAUUGGGCGUAAAGGGUUCGCAGGCGGUCCUUUAAGUCAGAUGUGAAAGACAUAGGCUCAACCUAUGUAAGCAUUUGAAACUGAAGGACUUGAGUUAAGGAGAGGAAAGUGGAAUUCCUAGUGUAGCGGUGAAAUGCGUAGAUAUUAGGAGGAAUACCAGUGGCGAAGGCGACUUUCUGGACUUAUACUGACGCUGAGGAACGAAAGCGUGGGGAGCAAACAGG